rnacentral:lncRNA from 1 species
CUCACAUAAUCAAGUGACGCACAAAUUCAAGCGAGAAAAAUUCACCUGAAAAUUCUAGAACUUGGGUACAGAACAAAGCAAUUCAAAAGACAGUGAGAGCUCCCUGGCUUGAUUGGGAGACAUGUAUUCUAGUCACUGCUCCCCUAUUAACAGCUCUGUGAUUUGGGGUAAGUGCCUUCACCUCUCUGAGCUUUAAUUUUCUCAUCUAAAAGAUGAAAGAGGUUGAAUUAACUGACCUCAAAAGGUUCUUUCCUGCCCUGAACUUUGAAAACAACGUGUCAAUUUCACGCUUGUAAACAGGAAGCUACUUUGGCCUCUGGAUUGAAAAUGCCUCUUCAAAACUGCCAACAGAGAACUUCUCUCCUUUGAGUGAGUUGGAGAAGAUCACCACAGAACACCGCAUUCCACUGUGAAAACAAACCUGGAGGCCAAAGCGUAAGCACUUGCAGUUGGAGGGGCCUCUCUCUUGUGCCGAAACGAAACCAUACUUCUCAACCUUUUCACCCUGACCUCGAGAAUGCUGAGCUCUGCCAGCCUGAUUUCCUUCUCACCGCUGUGCUACCUGUAACCAACCUGCCAACGCUGAAGAGCUGUAGUUGGCUCCAUGGAAUGAAUCACCCUCUCCCUUGGCAACACUUACGAGGAAGACCCUCCAUUGCUGGCUCGGGUUUGCGCUCCCCACCCUGGGCCACCAUCUACCACGCUUCCUGAUGUCUGGGGCCUGAUGACUCUUAGGAGGUG